rnacentral:rRNA from 1 species
UACGAAGGGGGCUAGCGUUGUUCGGAAUUACUGGGCGUAAAGCGUGCGCAGGCGGCUAUCCAAGUCAGUGGUGAAAGCCCGGAGCUCAACUCCGGAAUUGCCAUUGAAACUGUUUAGCUUGAGGACGAGAGAGGUGAGUGGAAUUCCCAGUGUAGAGGUGAAAUUCGUAGAUAUUGGGAAGAACACCGGUGGCGAAGGCGGCUCACUGGACUGGUAUUGACGCUGAGGUGCGAAAGCGUGGGGAGCAAACAGG